AUUGAACGCUGGCGGCAGGCCUAACACAUGCAAGUCGAGCGGAUGAGAGGAGCUUGCUCUUCGAUUCAGCGGCGGACGGGUGAGUAAUGCCUAGGAAUCUGCCUAGUAGCGGGGGACAACGUUUCGAAAGGAACGCUAAUACCGCAUACGUCCUACGGGAGAAAGUGGGGGAUCUUCGGACCUCACGCUAUUAGAUGAGCCUAGGUCGGAUUAGCUAGUUGGUAGGGUAACGGCCUACCAAGGCGACGAUCCGUAACUGGUCUGAGAGGAUGAUCAGUCACACUGGAACUGAGACACGGUCCAGACUCCUACGGGAGGCAGCAGUGGGGAAUAUUGGACAAUGGGCGAAAGCCUGAUCCAGCCAUGCCGCGUGUGUGAAGAAGGCCCUCGGGUCGUAAAGCACUUUAAGUUGGGAGGAAGGGCUUACAGCGAAUACCUGUGAGUUUUGACGUUACCGACAGAAUAAGCACCGGCUAACUUCGUGCCAGCCGCCCGGUAA
rnacentral:rRNA from 1 species